rnacentral:lncRNA from 1 species
GCUGGAGUGCAAUGGCAUGAUCUUGGCUCACUGCAGCCUCCACCUCCUGGGUUCAAGCGGUUCUCGUGCCUCAGUCUCCCAAGUAGCUGGGAUUACAGGCUGGAGUGCGAUGGCAUGAUCUUGGCUCACGGCAAACUCCGCCUCCCUGGUUCAAGUGAUUCUCCUGCCUCAGCCUCCCGAGUAGCCGGGAUUACAGGCAUGUGCCACCAUGCCCCGUUGGCCAGGCUGGUCUCGAACACCUUACCUCAGGUGAUCCUCCCACCUUUGGGAUUACAGGCUGAGGAAUUACCAAGGAGGCAGGAGGUGGAGCAAAACACACCAAGCCUGGUGCCAAUCAUUGACAAUAUUAUGGAACUGACUCAGCGCAAGAAGACAGCUUCGACUCCUUGUGAUUUCAUCCCUAACCAAUCAGCACUCCUGGCUCACUGGCUUCCCCCAACCCACCAAAUUGUCCUUAAAAACUCUGCUCUCCAAACGCUGGGGGAGACUGAUUUGAGUAAUAAUAAAACCCUGGUCUCCUGC